UACAUGGGGUGCAAACGUUGCUCGGAAUUAUUGGGCGUAAAGCGCACGUAGGCGGUUUGUUAAGUCGGAUGUGAAGUCCCUCGGCUCAACUGAGGAAGUGCAUCCGAAACUGGCAAGCUUGAGUACGAAAGAGGGUCGCGGAAUUCCCGGUGUAGAGGUGAAAUUCGUAGAUAUCGGGAGGAACACCAGUGGCGAAGGCGGUUGCCUGGAGCUUUGCUGACGCUGAUGCGCGAAAGCGUGGGGAGCGAUCCGG
rnacentral:rRNA from 1 species